rnacentral:snRNA from 1 species
AGCUUUGCGCAGUGGCACUAUCAUAAUCUGUGAAGUUUAACUGAGAUGUGAUUAUUGCUAGUUGAAAACUUUUCCCAAUACCCCGCUGCACUGACUUGAAAGAGUCUGUGUUAGCAAUUUUUAUCAGUCUCUGUGGAGA